rnacentral:rRNA from 1 species
AGUCAACCUGCCCUGGAGACAAGGACAACCCCGGGAAACUGGGAUUAAUCCUUGAUAGGUCAUCUCAUCUGGAAGGAGAGAUGGCUUAAAGGGGUACGCGGGCUUCUUCCGCGAAUCUGCUCCAGGAUGGGACUGCGUCCGAUCAGGCUGUUGGCGGGGUAAUGGCCCACCAAACCUGGAACCGGUACGGGCCUUGAGAGAGGUGGCCCGGAGAUGGACACUGAGAGAAGGGUCCAGGUCCUACGGGGCGCAGCAGGCGCGAAACCUUCGCAAUGCGCGAAAGCGUGACGAGGUUAAUCCGAGUGACUCCCGCUGAGGGGGUCUUUUGUCAGCUGUAAAUAGGCAGGCGAAUAAGGGGAGGGCAAGCCUGGUGUCAGCCGCCGCGGUAAUACCAGCUCCUCGAGUGGUCGGGGCGAUUAUUGGGCCUAAAGCAUCCGUAGCCGGUUCCGUAGGUCCUCUGUUAAAUCCAACCGCUUAACGGUUGACCUGCAGAGGAUACCGCGGGACUAGGAGGCGGGAGAGGCGGACGGUACUCCGCGUGUAGGGGUAAAAUCCUUUGAUCCGCGGAAGACCACCAGUGGCGAAGGCGGUCCGCCAGAACGCGCUCGACGGUGAGGGAUGAAAGCUGGGGGAGCGAACCGGAUUAGAUACCCGGGUAGUCCCAGCCGUAAACGAUGCUAGCUAGAUGAUUCAUUCGCAAGUCGCGAAUGAAGUGUCGCAGGGAAGCCGUUAAGCUAGCCGCCUGGGGAGUACGGUCGCAAGACUGAAACUUAA